rnacentral:rRNA from 1 species
UACAGAGGGUGCAAGCGUUGUCCGGAAUCACUGGGCGUAAAGGGCGCGUAGGCGGCCCGGUAAGUAGGGGGUGAAAUCUCACGGCUCAACUGUGAGGCUGCCUUCUAGACUGCCAGGCUCGAGCACAGUAGAGGCUGGUGUAAUUCCCGGUGUAGCGGUGGAAUGCGUAGAGAUCGGGAAGAACAUCUGUGGCGAAGGCGGCCAGCUGGGCUAUGGCUGACACUGAGGCGCGACAGCGUGGGGAGCAAACAGG